GUCCCAAUGGUACAGUGGUAGCGUGCUGGCGUGUGAUCCCAGCGGUCGCACGUUCAAUUCCUGCUGCUUUGAUACA